rnacentral:rRNA from 1 species
CCUACGGGAGGCAGCAGUGAGGAAUAUUGGUCAAUGGGCGAGAGCCUGAACCAGCCAAGUCGCGUGAGGGAGUACUGCCCUAUGGGUUGUAAACCUCUUUUGUCGGGGAGCAAAAGCCGGACGUGUCCGGCUGUGAGAAUACCCGAAGAAAAAGCAUCGGCUAACUCCGUGCCAGCAGCCGCGGUAAUACGGAGGAUGCGAGCGUUAUCCGGAUUUAUUGGGUUUAAAGGGUGCGCAGGCGGAUUUUUAAGUCAGCGGUAAAAUCGUGGGGCUCAACCCCAUCCAGCCGUUGAAACUGGGGAUCUAGAGUGUGCGAGAGGUAUGCGGAAUGCGUGGUGUAGCGGUGAAAUGCAUAGAUAUCACGCAGAACCCCGAUUGCGAAGGCAGCAUACCGGUGCACAACUGACGCUCAGGCACGAAAGCGUGGGUAUCGAACAGGAUUAGAUACCCCUGUAGUC